GUAGGUGGCAAGCGUUGUCCGGAAUUAUUGGGGCGUAAAGCGCGCGCAGGCGGUUCUUUAAGCCUGAUGUGAAAGCCCACGGGCUCAACCGUGGAGGGUCAUUGGAAACUGGAGAACUUGAGUACAGAAGAGGAAAGCGGAACUCCACGUGUAGCGGUGAAAUGCGUAGAGAUGUGGAGGAACACCAGUGGCGAAGGCGGCUUUCUGGUCUGUAACUGACGCUGAGGCGCGAAAGCGUGGGGAGCAAACAGGAUUAGAUACCCUGGUAGUCCACGCCGUAAACGAUGAGUGCUAAGUGUUAGGGGGUUUCCGCCCCUUAGUGCUGCAGCUAACGCAUUAAGCACUCCGCCUGGGGAGUACGGCCGCAAAGGCUG
rnacentral:rRNA from 1 species